rnacentral:rRNA from 1 species
UACGAACCGUCCAAACGUUAUUCGGAAUUACUGGGCUUAAAGGGUUCGUAGGCGGCCUUGUAAGUGGGGUGUGAAAUCCCUCGGCUCAACCGAGGAAUAGCGCUCCAAACUGCAAGGCUUGAGGGAGACAGGGGUAAGCGGAACUGAUGGUGGAGCGGUGAAAUGCGUUGAUAUCAUCAGGAACACCGGUGGCGAAGGCAGCCACCUGGCAUCAUACUGACGCUGAGGCGCGAAAGCGUGGGGAGCGAACAGG